UACGUAGGGAGCGAGCGUUGUCCGGAUUUAUUGGGCGUAAAGAGCUCGUAGGCGGUUUGGCAAGUCGGAUGUGAAAGCUCCGGGCUCAACCCGGAGACGCCAUUCGAUACUGCCAUGACUAGAGUCCGGUAGGGGGGUGUGGAAUUCCCAGUGUAGCGGUGAAAUGCGCAGAUAUUGGGAGGAACACCAAUGGCGAAGGCAGCACCCUGGGCCGGUACUGACGCUGAGGAGCGAAAGCGUGGGAGCAACAGGA
rnacentral:rRNA from 1 species